rnacentral:rRNA from 1 species
GACGAACGCUGGCGGCGUGCUUAACACAUGCAAGUCGAACGGAAAGGCCCUGCUUUUGUGGGGUGCUCGAGUGGCGAACGGGUGAGUAACACGUGAGUAACCUGCCCUUGACUUUGGGAUAACUUCAGGAAACUGGGGCUAAUACCGGAUAGGAGCUCCUGCUGCAUGGUGGGGGUUGGAAAGUUUCGGCGGUUGGGGAUGGACUCGCGGCUUAUCAGCUUGUUGGGGGGGUAGUGGCUUACCAAGGCUUUGGCGGGUAGCCGGCCUGGGAGGGUGACCGGCCACAUUGGGACUGAGAUACGGCCCAGACUCCUACGGGAGGCAGCAGUGGGGAAUAUUGCACAAUGGGCGGAAGCCUGAUGCAGCAACGCCGCGUGCGGGAUGACGGCCUUCGGGUUGUAAACCGCUUUCGCCUGUGACGAAGCGUGAGUGACGGUAAUGGGUAAAGAAGCACCGGCUAACUACGUG